rnacentral:tRNA from 1 species
GACCUCUUAGCUCAUCUGGAUAGAGCAUCAGUUUCCUAAACUGAGGGCAGCAGGUUCGAGUCCUGCAGGGGUCGCCA